GAUGAACGCUGGCGGCGUGCUUAACACAUGCAAGUCGAACGGAAAGGCUCCUUCUUGCAGGGGUACUCUAGUGGCGAACGGGUGAGUAACACGUGGGUUAUCUGCCCUGCACUUCGGGAUAAGCCUGUGAAACUGGGUCUAAUACCGGAUAGGACUAUGGUUUGGAUGCCAUUGUGGAAAGUUUUUCGGUGUGGGAUGAGCUCGCGGCCUAUCAGCUUGUUGGUGGGGUAAUGGCCUACCAAGGCGUCGACCCGUAGCCGGCCUGAGAGGGUGUACGGCCCAAUUGGGAAUGAGCUAAGGCACAGACUACUCCGGGAGGCAGCAGUGGGGAAGAUUGCACAAUGGGAGCAAGCCUGAUGCAGUGACGCAGCGUGGGGGAUGACGGCCUUCGGGUUGUAAACUACUUUCGCUAGGGACGAAGCGAAAGUGACGGUACCUGGAGAAGAAGCACCGGCUAACUACGUG
rnacentral:rRNA from 1 species